UACGGAGGGUGCAAGCGUUAUCCGGAUUCACUGGGUUUAAAGGGUGUGUAGGCGGGCUGUUAAGUCAGUGGUGAAAUCUCCAGGCUCAACCUGGAAACUGCCAUUGAUACUAUCAGUCUUGAAUUUUGUUGAGGUAGGCGGAAUAUAUCAUGUAGCGGUGAAAUGCUUAGAUAUGAUAUAGAACACUGAUUGCGAAGGCAGCUUACUAAGCAAAUAUUGACGCUGAGGCACGAAAGCGUGGGGAUCAAACAGGAUUAGAUACCCUGGUAGUCCACGCCCUAAACGAUGAUUACUCGACAUACGCGAUACACAGUGUGUGUCUGAGCGAAAGCAUUAAGUAAUCCACCUGGGAAGUACGUCCGCAAGGAUGAA
rnacentral:rRNA from 1 species